rnacentral:rRNA from 1 species
GUGGAUUAGAUACCCUAGUAGUCCACGCUGUAAACGAUGGAUACUAGGUGUAGGAGGUAUCGACCCCUUCUGUGCCGGAGUUAACACAAUAAGUAUCCCACCUGGGGAGUACGGCCGCAAGGUUGAAACUCAAAGGAAUUGACGGGGGCCCGCACAAGCAGUGGAGUAUGUGGUUUAAUUCGAAGCAACGCGAAGAACCUUACCAGGACUUGACAUCCCUUGAAGUUGGUAGAGAUACCAACGUCCUUCGGGACAAGGAGACAGGUGGUGCACGGCUGUCGUCAGCU